GAUGAAGAACGCAGCGAAAUGCGAUAAGUAAUGUGAAUUGCAGAAUUCAGUGAAUCAUCGAAUCUUUGAACGCACCUUGCGCCCUUUGGACAUUCCGAAGGGCAUGCCUGUUUGAGUAUCAUGAACACCUCAACUCUCACGGCUUGUCCGUGAUGAGCUUGGACUUUGGGGGUCUUGCCGGCCUGUGGUCGGCUCCUCUCAAAUGGAUCAGCUUGCCAGUGUUUGGUGGCAUCACAGGUGUGAUAACUAUCUGCGCGUGUGGUUUUCCAUCAGAUAACCUUCAGUGAUAUGGAGGUUCGCUGGAGCUCACAAAUGUCUCUCCUUAGUGAGGACAGCUCUUUGAACGUUUGAUCUCAAAUCAGGUAGGACUACCCGCUGAACUUAAGCAUAUCAAUAAGCGGAGGA
rnacentral:misc_RNA from 1 species